rnacentral:rRNA from 1 species
CGGACGGGUGAGUAAUGUCUGGGAAACUGCCUGAUGGAGGGGGAUAACUACUGGAAACGGUAGCUAAUACCGCAUAACGUCGCAAGACCAAAGAGGGGGACCUUCGGGCCUCUUGCCAUCGGAUGUGCCCAGAUGGGAUUAGCUAGUAGGUGGGGUAACGGCUCACCUAGGCGACGAUCCCUAGCUGGUCUGAGAGGACGACCAGCCACACUGGAACUGAGACACGGUCCAG